UGGGGAAUUGUUCGCAAUGGGCGCAAGCCUGACGACGCAACGCCGCGUGGAGGAUGAAGACCUUCGGGUCGUAAACUCCUUUCGACCGAGAUGAAUUCUCGCCGACCCAACACGUCGGCGAGGUGACAGUAUCGAGGGAAGCAGCCCCGGCUAACUCCGUGCCAGCAGCCGCGGUAAUACGGGGGGGGCAAGCGUUGUUCGGAAUUACUGGGCGUAAAGGGUUCGUAGGUGGCCCGCUAAGUCACACGUGAAAUCCCUCAGCUUAACUGGGGAACUGCGUGUGAGACUGGCAGGCUUGAGUGCAGGAGAGGAACGCGGAAUUCCAGGUGUAGCGGUGAAAUGCGUAGAUAUCUGGAGGAACACCGGUGGCGAAGGCGGCGUUCUGGACUGUAUCUGACACUGAGGAACGAAAGCCAGGGGAGCAAACGGG
rnacentral:rRNA from 1 species